GAGCGCGCCUUGGCACGGGGUGCCGGUCCCAACGUUAGUUCCUUGCUUAGUGGUCCGAAGACAGAACAGAGCACACAACAUAUACAGGAAAUAAAACGUAUGAUACGACACAGUAAAUGGAUUAGAAAACCAACAUUAGAGCCACAGCUUAACUGGUUCAUAACUUACAUCAACCACGGAGUAGUUAAUCCAUCAGAAGCAUCAUCUCACGGCACUGACCAUACAUCGUUAGCAACCAAGAGCUAAACAAACACCACACAAAAUAGAAGGCCAAUGCUGAUCAUAGUACCAACAGCGGUUGGUCUUUCACAAGCACCACAUUAGAGUUUUCUUGGGUCGGUGUAACGGAACAUCGCAUCGCAAGCAAUACGGCACGACAAAAGGGACGAUAGACCUAGGAAGAAGCUACACCAUCUAACACACGUCGAGACGUCCAUUCGCUAGACCAUCAAUGCGAGAGCACAUCUAACCAACACAUCGUGGUCCUGCAAUAACACAAGUUCAAGUAAGAGCCAAAUCGUGUACAACAUAGGAGGCGACUGAUGAUAUAAAAGGUACCUAGCUGACACACCAAAAUAAUGAUCCACCUAGGGCCGUUUGGACUACAGCUUGGCCCUUUUAGUCGCGGACGUCUCGUCUUCAUCCGCCGCCAGGCUUUCAGUUGAUUUGCUUCAAGAACAAAUAACAAUUAUGUACAAGAGGUAGAAAAAUGAUGCAUAUAUUGUUAAACACUCGUAUCAACCCACACCCAGAUACCUCAAUGUAGCAGCAAGCUCACCACCGAGACCAGCAGAGCGUCAUCCGGUUUUUCGAGCCCCUAGCAGGCAUAAACGAAUAUUCCUUGUCAACUGACCAUCAAACAACCAUGUGAAUAGGUUUGGAUGUAUUUUCACCAAGCAAACGAAAGGAAAUACCUAAGCACGGCCAUCAGAAAACAAGGGUUUACACAACACAGACUUAGGUAGACCACUUGCUGGCACUCUCUUUAUACCGACA
rnacentral:lncRNA from 1 species